CAGCAGCCGCGGUAAUACGGAGGGUGCAAGCGUUAUCCGGAUUCACUGGGUUUAAAGGGUGCGUAGGCGGAUCUGUAAGUCAGUGGUGAAAUCUCCAGGCUUAACCUGGAAACUGCCGUUGAUACUAUAGGUCUUGAAUUUUGUGGAGGUUAGCGGAAUAUGUCAUGUAGCGGUGAAAUGCAUAGAUAUGACAUAGAACACCAAUUGCGAAGGCAGCUGGCUACACAACUAUUGACGCUGAGGCACGAAAGCGUGGGGAUCAAACAGGAUUAGAUACCCCCGUAGUCCCGUCUCUUAUACA
rnacentral:rRNA from 1 species